rnacentral:rRNA from 1 species
AUUGAACGCUGGCGGCAUGCCUUACACAUGCAAGUCGAACGGUAACAGGUCUUCGGACGCUGACGAGUGGCGAACGGGUGAGUAAUACAUCGGAACGUGCCCGAGAGUGGGGGAUAACGAGGCGAAAGCUUUGCUAAUACCGCAUACGAUCUCAGGAUGAAAGCAGGGGACCGCAAGGCCUUGCGCUCACGGAGCGGCCGAUGGCAGAUUAGGUAGUUGGGGGGAUAAAAGCUUACCAAGCCGACGAUCUGUAGCUGGUCUGAGAGGAAGACCAGCCACACGGGGACUGGAACACGGCCCAGACUCCUACGGGAGGCAGCAGUGGGGAAUUUUGGACAAUGGGCGCAAGCCUGAUCCAGCCAUGCCGCGUGCAGGAUGAAGGCCUUCGGGUUGUAAACUGCUUUUGUACGGAACGAAACGGUCUGGGUUAAUACCCUGGGCUAAUGACGGUACCGUAAGAAUAAGCACCGGCUAACUACGUGCCAGCCGCCGCCGUAAGAC